rnacentral:lncRNA from 1 species
CACAACUUGCCUGGCACUUGAGAUUUCAGGUACCAACUUGCUUUUCAAAUGACACGUGUCCUCGCGCUAGUCGUAACAAUACAAACAAACAUGGUAUAGAUAAAAUUAACAUCACACCAAACAUAAUAAUAUACUGCAUAAUAAUGAUCUAUGUGUUGCUACGAGACUAACGCAACUUGAACGGAUUAAAUCGGAGUUAAAACGGAGGAGUUAUGAAUUUGCUAGGGUUUUAUGUAUUUGAUACAUGAUUAAUUAUGAGAUCAAUUUUAAUGUGGUUUUCAUGUCAAAACAGAGAUACUAGGUGAUAAAAAAACAUUAUUACAAAAUUAUAGAAACUGGAAUGGAUAAAUUUGGACUAAAUAUGGAUUUUCUAUGGAAUAAACAAGUUUCUAUCAAUUAUUUAUACACUAAAAAUCUAUUUCUACUUUAUUUUCUCUGAUUUUACAAUGCUCUGGACUGGGCCUCAAUAACAGGGAAAUCUGGGGUUGCAGGGUAAAAUUUCCUAAGACCUAGGCAACAGUCGCCGAGGACGGCGGGUUGUUUAUUAACAUCGUCAGGGGCUCAUACGCAAAAUUCAUAUGUCGAAGCGGUAUCGACCGAUCGCGGCCGCACGAUCUAUGGUGGGCGGUAUGGAUUAGAUCCGUAGACAUCAGAACCUGUAAUUCUACGUGAACCCUCGGAUUACCGAUCAAGGGCCAGAAUCCGCCCACGACAACCCCCAAUCCGACCCGUUGGAUUUGUGAGUAACGACACUUAUCUAACCGCGUGAGAAGGUACCCGGUCGUCAAUCCUAACCAUCCGUUACGCCAUCGACGACUUAGUUUCUAUCGUCUACCUCCAGGUGAACCGCGACAGCGCUGACUGCGCACGGCGGUGACCGCGCCGGCGAGAGGGCGCAAAACGUUCCUGGCGGCCCAAGAUCCCCAAUCGAUUACUCCAAUUUGGACCAGAGAAAAAUAGCUAGCAUGGGGGGCAUUCAAUCGGAGGUUUGAAGCGACGGAGGUGGUCAGCCCACGAGCCGCGGCGGCACUGCGGCCAACAACCACACCGGCGACGAAUUCUAAGGGCACUGGUGAUCUAUCGCUUAGCCCAAUCGGCGCUAUACCUCGGGUAAGUGAAAUCAAAACAGGGAACGUGGCACAUACCAACAAUUUCGCGAUGCCGACUCGAGCCAGGGUGUGAUGCGGCGUGGUUGUGGGAUGAGAGCAUGAUUCGGUGAGCAAUCGACGGCACUCCAAUUUGCCCCCCCUAAGUUUGACAACACUGAGCUCCCGCGCGCACGGUGAACUGACGAGGCGCGAGCCCAGCCACACUCGUUCGGUCGCCAAGGAUAAGCAGCAGGGACUACGGGUGCCGAGCGCCAUGGCAGCGGCGCGGCUGGGUUCAUGGCGGCGGAGGUUAGGGUUCUAAGGAAAGAAAGAAAGGGCACCAGGCGCGCAGCUUUAAAGUCCG